GAUGAACGCUGGCGGCGUGCCUAAUACAUGCAAGUCGAGCGAACAGACGAGGAGCUUGCUCCUCUGACGUUAGCGGCGGUCGGGUGAGUAACACGUGGAUAACCUACCUAUAAGACUGGGAUAACUUCGGGAAACCGGAGCUAAUACCGGAUAAUAUAUUGAACCGCAUGGUUCAAUAGUGAAAGACGGUUUUGCUGUCACUUAUAGAUGGAUCCGCGCCGCAUUAGCUAGUUGGUAAGGUAACGGUUUACCAAGGCAACGAUGCGUAGCCGACCUGAGAGGGUGAUCGGCCACACUGGAACUGAGACACGGUCCAGACUCCUACGGGAGGCAGCAGUAGGGAAUCUUCCGCAAAGGGCGAAAGCCUGACGGAGCAACGCCGCGUGAGUGAUGAAGGUCUUCGGAUCGUAAAACUCUGUUAUUAGGGAAGAACAAAUGUGUAAGUAACUAUGCACGUCUUGACGGUACCUAAUCAGAAAGCCACGGCUAACUACGUG
rnacentral:rRNA from 1 species